rnacentral:rRNA from 1 species
CCUGGGGAUAUUGGACAAUGGGCGGAAGCCUGAUCCAGCAACGCCGCGUGAGGGAUGACGGCCUUCGGGUUGUAAACCUCUUUCAGCAGGGACGAAGCGCAAGUGACGGUACCUGCAGAAGAAGCACCGGCCAACUACGUGCCAGCAGCCGCGGUAAUACGUAGGGUGCGAGCGUUGUCCGGAAUUAUUGGGCGUAAAGGGCUCGUAGGCGGUUUGUCGCGUCGGGAGUGAAAACCAGGUGCUUAACACCUGGCUUGCUUUCGAUACGGGCAGACUAGAGGUAUUCAGGGGAGAACGGAAUUCCUGGUGUAGCGGUGAAAUGCGCAGAUAUCAGGAGGAACACCGGUGGCGAAGGCGGUUCUCUGGGAAUGACCUGACGCUGAGGAGCGAAAGUAUGGG